rnacentral:rRNA from 1 species
GUCUACGGCCAUAUCAUGUUGAACGCACCAGUUCUCGUCUGAUCACUGAAGGUAAGCAACAUUGAGCUAAGUUAGUACUUGGAUGGGUGACCGCCUGGGAAUACUAAGUGCUGUAGGCA